rnacentral:rRNA from 1 species
UACGUAGGGUGCAAGCGUUGUCCGGAAUUAUUGGGCGUAAAGAGCUCGUAGGCGGUUUGUUGCGUCGGCUGUGAAAUCCCGAGGCUCAACCUCGGGUCUGCAGUCGAUACGAGCAAACUAGAGUGUUGCAGGGGAGACUGGAAUUCCAGGUGUAGCGGUGAAAUGCGUAGAUAUCUGGAGGAACACCGGUGGCGAAGGCGGCAUCCUGGACCGGUAUUGACGCUGAGGCGCGAAAGCCAGGGGAGCAAACGGG